GCAACGACGCUGUGAAUGCAGAAUGGAUACUGGAGGAGACAAACAAUGAGAAAUAUUAGCGUGGCUCUGAUAUCACUGCAGAAGCUGUAGUUACCUCCACAACUUCUUCCUGGGGAGGAGAGAGAGAGAAGAAAAGAGAGAGAGUAGAGAAGAAAUAUCAUUUCUCAGCCUUUUGAUUAAGAUCAAGUGUAGGGGCUGGUAUUGUGGUGCAGCAAGUAAAGCUGCCGCCUGCGGUGCCAACAUCCCAUGUGGACACCGUUUCGAGACUCGGCUGCUCCACUUCUGAUCCAGCUCUCUGCUGUGAUCUGGGAAAGCAGCAGAAGAUGGCCCAAGUCCUUGGUCCCCUGCACCCACGUGGGAGACCUAGAGGAGGCUCCUUGUUCCUGGCUUCGGAUUGGCUCAGCUCUGGCCAUUGCAGCCAUUUGGGGAGUGAACUAGUGGAUGGAAGACUUCUCUCUCUGCAUUUGCCUCUGCCUCUUUGUAAUUCUUCCUUUGAAAUAAAUAAAUAAAUCUUUUAACCAAAAAAGAUCAAGUGCAGUGGAGAAGAGAAGAGAGAGGAGAGCAAGAGAGAAGAGAAAGAAGAAAAUAGAGUCACAGAAGGACUGCGGAGGACUGCUCUUUGAAAAUGUGUAGAGGACUUGUGUGAAGUGGGGGGUGCACCCGGGCAGCCCUGGAGGCAUCCUGAUAUGAGAGGGACAUUUGUAGCGUCAGAUGCUGUGUCUUGAUUAUUCACAAGGAUCACACCAAGACCAUGUUCACACUAAGCUCUGUCAAGGUUAGAGCCCAGCAGUGAUAGAGCAGGGCAGGUGCCAGGGCAUUUCUGUUGAAUGAAGGAUUCCUCCGAUGGAAACUAUUUGCUUUGAAGCUCCCCACGUGGCUGAGACUUCCUUGGAUCUGCAGUGUGGUCUGGGGCUCCUGCUUUCUCCUUUCUCAGAUAUCAAACCUAGUCUUGUUGACUCUACCCUUUCUCACUCAGAGGGACUUUCCUCCAAAACUCGCUUGCUGGCAUCUUCUAUCUGGAAGGCCUUACCUGACAGAAAAGAUCUUCAUGGAAGGAAAUCAAUAAUGUUUUAUGGUAGAAAGAACGCUGUGCUGAAACUGGAUGGAGUCCAACGGCUGACAACAAAACAGCUGCAUGACUCUAGGCGAGCUGUAAAUUCCUUAGACCAAAAAUUCCCUUCUUUGUAA
rnacentral:lncRNA from 1 species